rnacentral:rRNA from 1 species
GACGAACGCUGGCGGCGUGCCUAAUACAUGCAAGUCGAGCGAACAGGUCAUGCGCUUGCUCCGCUCUCGUGAGGGGCGGACGGGUGUGUAACGCGUGUAUCACCUACUUAUAAUUCUGGGAUAACCUCGGGAAUCCGGAUCUUAUACCGGAUAAUAUACUGAACCGUAUGGUUCAAUAGUGAAAUUCGGUGUUGCUGGCAGUUUUGGAUGGAUAGGCGCUUCAUUAGCUAGUUGGUGAGUUAGCGGCUUACCAAGGCUACGAUGGGUAGCCGGCCUGAGAGGGUGACCGGCGACAUGGGGACUGAGAGACGGAGCAGACUCGAAUGGGAGGCAGUAGGGGAGAAUCUUACACAGCGGGGGGGAGUCUGAGGCAGCAACGUCGGGAGCGUGAAGCCGGGUUUUGGGGUGUAAACCGCUGUCGCAGGAGCUGUAGCGGGCUUGACGGUAACUGGUAAAGAAGCAACGGCUAACUACGUG